GGCUAAUGCCUGUUUGGGUAUGUUGUUCAAUCUCUCUCUCUCUCUCUGCAUGUGAUGUUUAGUUUCUUAAUAUAUCUUUAUUUUUUGUUUGUUUGUUUGUUUUUUUAACUCAACCUAAUGUCAUUAGACAAUAUCUUGGGCUAAACUUCUUUACCACCAGAGCAUAUUCAGCUGUGUGAGGACUUUAAUGUUUCUCCUCACACCACUCAACACAUUAUAUACACCAUUCUUUGAAAGAGAGAAAAAAACCCAGAAUAUGUGGAAUCCUUUUUAAACACUUUGCAACCUUUUUCUACAGAAAAGUUCCCAGAGGUGCCAUUCCAGAUUCCUGUGGCUGAGGGGCAGAGCAUGCAUUGGGAGAGAUUCCAAGGUGGUGGGCAAGAUGCUGAGAAAGCAAAGGAUUCUCAUCAUAUUUGUUGGCAAGAAAUGAUGCUUCUCAUUAAGGCAAGAAACUUGGACCAACUAGGACUGCAGCCGUCAAGGAUCCUGGAGAAGAACUCUAUGGCUUGAGAUGUACCACUGAGACUGGUUUUUUAGGCCUUCAAAUAUCUGUUUGACCAGAGAUAACAGUGGCACAACAAACAGAAAUGUGUACACCACAGGAAACAAUGUACCCGUCAUGCUGACUUCAGCUUUCUUAAAAGCAAACAAACAUUGUCUGCCUCCAGACGAAAGACCUUCACUGUGCUAUCACUUACCAAACCUUCACUGGGCAUGAUGCUGGUAAGGUGAACAACUUCAAGGUGAGCUGAUUGAGACACCAAAGAGUCGGAUGAGAGAGAGAUGAUGUGGUCACAGAUUCCAGAGAGCGUUUUACACUGGGAGAGGGAAGAUGUGGGGGGCAGGGGGAGGGAGGAGAAGAGAGACAGAAAAAAGAAACUACCAUAAGCACAUGAACAGAAGCAUUAAAUGGCUCAUGUUAAAAGAGCAUUCACUCUGUAGCACUUCAGUACAGGAGAACCUUGUUACACGCAGAUUAUAUAUCCAUGGUUUCGCAUAUUCAGGCGUGUCUAACUAACACCUGAUUUCAAUAUCCGUGGAUAUUAAAGGGUUAAAACCCACAUAUCUGUGGUUCCUAGAGGGUCGGAAGUGAUUGUGGAGGUCACUUCCAGCCACCAUUUUGUCCAUGGGAGCCAUUUUGUGGCUCAUUGCUGCAAAAAAAAUGGGGGAAAUCCACAAUUUUGGGGACUGUUUUGGACUUUGAGGGGGCAUUUGUGGGUUCAUUGCUGGACAGCAGGAGACCCAUGGAGCAUGGUAGGGUACUUAAUUUGGCCUGAUUUGAUGGGAACCUAACCUCUGUGUUCCCAUAGACUCAAUUACUCAUUAUCCACGGUUUUGUUACCUGCAGGAAUCUGUGGGAAUGGAACCCCCGCGGAUAAUGAGGUUCACCUGUACCAUUGUUCUUUAAAAAAAAAUCUGCAUGAGCUGUACAUGUGACACAGUCAUAACAAGUAAAUGAGGGUCGAUAGCAUACAAGUGUGCUCAGAUCAAUGUCUGCUUGAAUUCUAUGCAUGUACAGCUAUCUAUCUAUCAAUCUAUCAAUCUAUCAAUCAAUCUAUCUGUAUAAACAAAAGGUGCUCAUA